rnacentral:tRNA from 5 species
GGCCCGGUGGCUCAGCUGGUUAGAGCGCCGCCCUGUCACGGCGGAGGUCGUCGGUUCGAACCCGAUCCGGGUCG